UACGUAGGGUGCGAGCGUUGUCCGGAAUUAUUGGGCGUAAAGGGCUCGUAGGCGGUUUGUCACGUCGGGAGUGAAAACCCAGGGCUUAACCCUGAGCCUGCUUCCGAUACGGGCAGACUAGAGGUAUGCAGGGGAGAACGGAAUUCCUGGUGUAGCGGUGAAAUGCGCAGAUAUCAGGAGGAACACCGGUGGCGAAGGCGGUUCUCUGGGCAUUACCUGACGUGAGGAGCGAAAGUGUGGGGAGCGAACAGG
rnacentral:rRNA from 1 species